GCUGGUGAAAUUGCUGAAUUAAAACAAACGAUUAAGCAAAUGGAAGCUGAUAG
rnacentral:ribozyme from 1 species